rnacentral:rRNA from 1 species
AAUGAACGCUGGCGGCAGGCCUAAACAUGCAAGUCGAACGCUGUAGCAAUACAGAGUGGCGCACGGGUGAGUAACAUGUGGGAAUAUGCCUAUUGGUACGGAACAACGUUUGGAAACGAACGCUAAUACCGUAUGGUCCCUUCGGGGGUAAAAGAUUUAUCGCCAAUAGAUUAGCCCGCACUAGAUUAGCUAGUUGGUGAGGUAAGAGCUCACCAAGCCGACGAUCGGUAGCUGGUCUGAGAGGAUGAUCAGCCACACUGGACUGAGAUACGGCCCAGACUCCUACGGGAGGCAGCAGUGGGAAUAUUGGACAAUGGGGCAACCCUGAUCCAGCAAUGCCGCGUGAGUGAUGAAGGCCUUAGGUUGUAAAGCUACUUUGCCAGGGAAGAUGAUGACUGUACCUGGAGAA